rnacentral:rRNA from 1 species
AGAACGAACGCUGGCGGCAGGCUUAACACAUGCAAGUCGAACGGUUGUAGCAAUACAGCAGUGGCAGACGGGUGAGUAACACGUGGGAACCUUCCUAGGGGUACGGAACAACUCAGGGAAACUUGAGCUAAUACCGUAUACGUCCGUGAGGAGAAAGUUUUAACGCCCCUAGACGGGGCCCGCGUAGGAUUAGGUAGUUGGUGAGGUAACGGCUCACCAAGCCUACGAUCCUUAGCUGAUCUGAGAGGAUGAUCAGCCACACUGGGACUGAGACACGGCCCAGACUCCUACGGGAGGCCAGCAGUGGGGAAUCUUGGACAAUGGGCGCAAGCC